ACAGUUGCUAAGACUGGAUAGGAAAUUAAAAGGCAUCUUUUAAUUUUUAAAAGACCUUUUUCGGAAGGUAUGCUUAAAGAGGGGCUUGCGCCACAUUAGUUAGUUGGUAAGGUAAAGGCUUACCAAGACGAUGAUGUGUAGCUGGACUGAGAGGUCGAACAGCCACAUUGGGACUGAGACACGGCCCAAACUCCUACGGGAGGCAGCAGUAAGGAAUUUUUGGCAAUGGAGGAAACUCUGACCGAGCGACGCCGCGUGAACAAUGAAGUACUUCGGUAUGUAAAGUUCUUUUAUUGAAAAAGAAAAAAUAGUGGAAAAACUAUCUUGACAUUAUUCAAUGAAUAAGCCCCGGCUAAUUAUGUGCCAGCAGCCGCGGUAAUACAUAAGGGGCGAGCGUUAUCCGGAAUUAUUGGGCGUAAAGGGUGCGUAGGCGGUUUGAUAAGUCUAUAGUUUAAUUGCAGUGCUUAACGCUGUACCGCUAUAGAAACUGUCUGACUAGAGUUAGAUAGAGGCAAGCGGAAUUCCAUGUGUAGCGGUAAAAUGCGUAAAUAUAUGGAGGAACACCAGAGGCGUAGGCGGCUUGCUGGGUCUUAACUGACGCUGAGGCACGAAAGCGUGGGGAGCAAACAGGAUUAGAUAUCCCGGUUAGUUCACGCCGUAAACGAUGAGUACUAAGUGUCGGGUUUUGGCUCGGUACUGAAGUUAACACAUUAAGUACUCCGCCUGAGUAGUACGUACGCAAGUAUGAAACUUAAAGGAAUUGACGGGACCCCGCACAAGCGUGGAUCAUGUUGUUUAAUUCGAAGAUACACGAAAAACCUUACCAGGUCUUGACAUAAUUUUGCGACAUUAUAGAAAUAUAAUGAAGGUUAUCAGAAUUACAGGUGGUGCAUGGUUGUCGUCAGCUCGUGUCGUGAGAUGUUAGGUUAAGUCCUAAAACGAGCGCAACCCUUGUCGUUAGUUGCGACCACAUAAUGGUGAGCACUUUAGCGAGACUGCCAAUGAAAAAUUGGAGGAAGGUGAGGAUUACGUCAAAUCAUCAUGCCCCUUAUGAUCUGGGCUACAAACGUGAUACAAUGGCUGUUACAAAGAGUAGCUACAACGUGAGUUUUUAGCCAAUCUCAAAAAAACAGUCUCAGUUCGGAUUGAAGUCUGCAACUCGACUUCAUGAAGUUGGAAUCGCUAGUAAUCGCGAAUCAGCAUGUCGCGGUGAAUACGUUCUCGGGGUUUGUACACACCGCCCGUCAAACCACGAAAGUUGAUAAUACCCAAAACC
rnacentral:rRNA from 1 species